GUGACCUCAAGAAGGUGACCAAGCCUGUUUCCUCACUGUGACUUGGUCAUAGUUGCUAGCGUUUUGGUGGGUUCCCCAGGGCAGUGCUCGGCAGAGGGCAGGAACUUUCCACCCCAGCCUGAGAGCUGGAGACUGGGCCUGAUGAAAGAAAGACCUUGUGUUCUUCAGUAGAGCGAGAAAGUGGGAGUGGAUGAACGCUGAAGCCUGUCUAAGACCCAUGAUGACCACAGGGGUCUCCAGAGCAGCAGCCCCGAAACCAAGGUCUCCCGGCACCCAGGAUCCUGCUCUUUGCUGCCUUGUUCCCCGCAGCCUGCCAAGGACACAGCUUAAGUCACCCUCCUGGUAAUGAGAGGAGAGGAGGAAGAGCCGUGAUUAAAUGCGCUUGAUAAAACUUCUCUCUUUCGUGUUCGGAAUAAAAAGGGGAAGGUGGA